rnacentral:rRNA from 1 species
AUUGAACGCUGGCGGCAUGCCUUACACAUGCAAGUCGAACGGCAGCACGGGUGCUUGCAUCUGGUGGCGAGUGGCGAACGGGUGAGUAAUACAUCGGAACAUGUCCUGUAGUGGGGGAUAGCCCGGCGAAAGCCGGAUUAAUACCGCAUACGAUCUACGGAUGAAAGCGGGGGACCUUCGGGCCUCGCGCUAUAGGGUUGGCCGAUGGCUGAUUAGCUAGUUGGUGGGGUAAAGGCCUACCAAGGCGACGAUCAGUAGCUGGUCUGAGAGGACGACCAGCCACACUGGGACUGAGACACGGCCCAGACUCCUACGGGAGGCAGCAGUGGGGAAUUUUGGACAAUGGGCGAAAGUCUGAUCCAGCAAUGCCGCGUGUGUGAAGAAGGCCUUCGGGUUGUAAAGCACUUUUGUCCGGAAAGAAAUCCUUGGCCCUAAUACGGUCGGGGGAUGACGGUACCGGAAGAAUAAGCACCGGCUAACUACGUG